rnacentral:rRNA from 1 species
GACGAACGCUGGCGGCGUGCUUAACACAUGCAAGUCGAACGGAAAGGCCCUGCUUUUGUGGGGUGCUCGAGUGGCGAACGGGUGAGUAACACGUGAGUAACCUGCCCUUGACUUUGGGAUAACUUCAGGAAACUGGGGCUAAUACCGGAUAGGAGCUCCUGCUGCAUGGUGGGGGUUGGAAAGUUUCGGCGGUUGGGGAUGGACUCGCGGCUUAUCAGCUUGUUGGUGGGGUAGUGGCUUACCAAGGCUUUGACGGGUAGCCGGCCUGAGAGGGUGACCGGCCACAUGGGGACUGAGAUACGGCCCAGACUCCUACGGGAGGCAGCAGUGGGGAAUAUUGCACAAUGGGGGGAAGCCUGAUGCAGCAACGCCGCGUGCGGGAUGACGGCCUUCGGGUUGUAAACCGCUUUCGCCUGUAACGAAGCGUGCGUGACGGUAAUGGGUAAAGAAGCACCGGCUAACUACGUG